rnacentral:rRNA from 4 species
GGUCCGCCGCCCGCGACACUGCGAGAAGUCCAUUGAACCUUAUCAUUUAGAGGAAGGAGAAGUCGUAACAAGGUUUCCGUAGGUGAACCUGCGGAAGGAUCAUUG